ensembl:snoRNA
AUCCUUCUAAAAAGCACUUGCUUCGUCUGCUCAGUGGCUGAGUGAGUUGUCGUGGAAGGAAAUAGUAAAUCCCAUUGCUCUUGGGUGAGAUGGCAGCUUUAAUUAAUGUACUGUUCAAUCUCAAUCCGUGAUGGUACACCU